UGACGGUAUCAUAUGAAUAAGCACCGGCUAACUCCGUGCCAGCAGCCGCGGUAAUACGGAGGGUGCAAGCGUUAUUCGGAAUCACUGGGCGUAAAGGGUGCGUAGGCGGUUUGGAAAGUCAGGUGUGAAAUCCUACAGCUUAACUGUAGAACUGCACUUGAAACUUCCAGACUAGAAUACUGAAGGGGCAGAUGGAAUUAGUGGUGUAGGGGUAAAAUCCGUAGAUAUCACUAGGAAUACCGAAAGCGAAAGCGAUCUGCUGGGAAGUUAUUGACGCUGAGGCACGAAAG
rnacentral:rRNA from 1 species